GACGAACGCUGGCGGCGUGCUUAACACAUGCAAGUCACGGGGGCUCGCAAGGGCAACCGGCGAACGGGUGCGUAACACGUGAGCAACUUACCGAUUUGUGGGGGAUAGCCGGCCCAACGGCCGGGUAAUACCGCAUACGCUCUUUGGGUGGAGUCACCUGAAGAGGAAACCUCCGGGGCAAAUCGAGGGGCUCGCGGCCUAUCAGCUUGUUGGUGGGGUGAUGGCCUACCAAGGCGACGACGGGUAGCCGGCCUGAGAGGGCGACCGGCCACACUGGGACUGAGAUACGGCCCAGACUCCUACGGGAGGCGGCAGUGGGGAAUCUUGCGCAAUGGGCGAAAGCCUGACGCAGCGACGCCGCGUGAGGGAUGGC
rnacentral:rRNA from 1 species